rnacentral:rRNA from 1 species
UACGGAGGGAGCUAGCGUUGUUCGGAAUUACUGGGCGUAAAGCGCACGUAGGCGGCUAUUCAAGUCGGGGGUGAAAGCCCGGGGCUCAACCCCGGAACUGCCCUCGAAACUAGAUAGCUAGAAUCUUGGAGAGGCGAGUGGAAUUCCGAGUGUAGAGGUGAAAAUUCGUAGAUAUUCGGAAGAACACCAGUGGCGAAGGCGACUCGCUGGACAAGUAUUGACGCUGAGGUGCGAAAGCGUGGGGAGCAAACAGG